CUUGUGGACUGUCAUAACAAAUGGGAGUAGAUUUUAUAUGAUAUAAAAACCAAACCAGACAGGGAGAAGCAAGAA
rnacentral:sRNA from 12 species